rnacentral:lncRNA from 1 species
AGAACUUGUCUGUUACCUAGAUUCUUAUAUUUAUUUAAAAUUUUUGAGCAUAAUGGUCUUAGUAAGCCUGGCCAUCAUCUGAGUUAAACAGCCUAGUAUAUUAGGAAGAAACUGGACUAGAAUUUGGAACAACCCUGGUGCAAAUCCCAGCUCUGCUACUAACAAGUGGUGUACCGUUAAGCAAGUGCCCUAACCCUUCUGGAUCUCAGUUUCUUAUCCCAAAAUGGGUUUAAAGUCUCAGCCAUAUAUCACAAAAUUUUUGUGAGGAUUCAAUGAAAUACGAUAUUGUAGAUGGUGGCUUUUAAAAAAAUUACUCAUUUGGGCGAAAUCCUAUCAAAAAUAAAACUCCUAGCCAGAGGGUCAGAACUAGAGGUGGUGGAGUGAACGCCGCACCAGGCAAUGGAAGAAGCACUGGCCUAGACCAAGCUUGAGCGUGCACCACUGUCACCUGGAGGGCUUGUUCCAACACGGAUGGCUGGACUCACCCCCAGAAUUUCAGAUUUAUUAGGUCUGCACUGGGCCCUGAGAAUGUUUAUUUAAAACAAAUUCCUGGAUGCUACUGGUUCAGUUGCCACACUCUGAGACCCGCUGGCUUUGAGCUUAGAAGAUGUGGGUUUGAUUCCUGGAUUCCACAGUUUACUAGCUGUGAGUUAGAGAAUUUAAAUUACUUACCUGAGUCUUGGUUUCUUAUUUGCAAACUGAACUGUAAACUAUUUGUUCUACCCAUUUUAUAAGACUUUUGUAAGGAUAAAAUAAAAGAAUACAUAUGCAAAUUACUGAAAAACCUGUCACUGUUGUUAUUACUAGUAUUAUUGUGAAAGAAGCUGUAGAUUUAUGUCAGCCCCAGACAGGAGUUGACAGAACCUUCGAGUUGCACAAGGCCUGCUGGAGCACUUCAGAGAAUUCCAAAUGAAUCUUGAUUGCAUUGUGGAAUGUACAGCACUGGGGCCCUGGGGACCAGCAUGGAAUGUGAGUAAAGACAAGAUAGGUUCUAUCAUCCUCCAGACCUGCAGAUGUGUGUUCAAAUCCUGACUCCAUGGGGCUUGACUCUAUCCCAUCUGGAAAAAUGGAAAUAAAAGUGCCUACCUUACUGGUUUAUUGUGAGGACUAUUUGAGAUAAUGUAUUUAAAGAACUAGCACAGUGCACGGCACAUAGUGGGCACUCACUAAAUAUUAGCUCUUAAUAUAGUUAUGAAAACUAAACCCAAUGGGGAGAAAAUGCAAGGCCAUCUUGGUAAUACAACUGUAUGUAUUAUGAGGUAGCCAGGUCUCUCAGCCCAAAAGACCAUAUUCCAGGGCCAGGCAUGGUGGCUCACGCCUGUAAUCCCAGCACUUUGGGAGGCUGAGCUGGGUGGAUGACUUCAGGCCAGGAGUUCGAGACUAGCCUGGCCAAAAUGGCAAAACCCCCAUCUUUACUAAAAAUGCAAAAAUUAGCUGGGUAUGGUGGCACACACCUGUGGUCCCAGCUACUCAGGAGGCUGAGGCAUGAUAAUUACUGGAACCUGGGAGGUGAAGGUUGCAGUAAGCUGAGAUUUUGCCACUGCACUCUAGCCUGGGUGACAGAGCAAGAAAAAAAAAAAAAGACCAUAUUCCAGUGCUGCUGCUCUGAGAGAGCAGGAGCAGUUAGACUCACUGACCUCCCACGUUGCUUCCAAAUGAGAUUUUAAUGUCAGCACAAAGCAAACGCAUCUAGUCAGUUGCCAGCAACCAGGGCUGUUUUCCCCAGACUUCCCUUAUGACUGACAGCUACACCAUUCAUUUCUUUGCUAUGACCUACCUUG